CUCCUCCCCUAGCAUGCGCAGCCUUGCGUGGAUUCAAUUUUUGAGCCUUCCUCUCUCCUGCCGGCCUCAGCCCCUCACCCAGUAAACAGAUGAGAUGGAGACAAGGGCCAGCAUCUCUCCAGGGACUUGAUGCCAUGCUCUCACAUUGCUCUUUAGUCUUUUCUCCUGAGCAGCCAUUUCUGGACUACUGCUUGGAACCUGAGCCAGGAGAUCUCUGAUAAAAAGAGGGAGAUGGAUAGACAUGGUUUCAGAAUUUAGAGAUACUUUUCAGAAAUUGAAUUUUCUGGCACCUCUCUGCAGAAUAUCAUCUGAUUCUGGGCAAUCAAUUUGAGACAGCUGACUGGGGUCAGAAGAGCAGUCUGUGACUGUGGAACCGAGCAGAUUUCAUUGGAACAAAGUGACAGAGGGAUGGAGAAGGAUCCAACUCAAACUUUAGGUUUCCUGUAUACCAUGGAGCCCAGCCACCCACAAGCCACAGUCUGUCAGAAGAUACCAGAGACGAGAUCACUCUCCAGGGGACACUUAAGCCAUUCAUAUAAUCACCUGCUGGUACAUGUUGGCUUUCCAAGCCUAAUUAGUUUGUGAAGAGUGCUAAUGAAGAUGGGCAUUUGCUUGUAUGGACAGGCUAAGGAUGGUCCAGCAUCCUUAAGUGGUCAAAGGAUAAGGCAGUGAUGGUUAGAAGAACCAAGAUGUCAUAGGGGCCAGACUGCUCAAUAUUAUUGAAGAAAGCCAACAGCAAGAAUUUUGCAGAACACAGAAAAUGUGAUUGUCUCCUCGGAGUUGGAGCAGAUUUCUAUCUUUUACCAAGAAACAAGGUUGGGAACGCACAUUCAUGUUCUUUAACAGAAGAAUCAGUUCCACUGGAGAAGCCACAAAACAUAGAGGUGUUUAUCAACAUACCUACUCCAUAUAUUUUUUUUAAGUGUAGUCAGUACAAUGAAAACUCUAUUGAUUUGUUUAUGAGCUCUGCCAUCAUAAUAAAAAG
ensembl:lncRNA